rnacentral:rRNA from 1 species
GCGUGCUUAAACAAGCAAUCGAACGAUGAACUUGGAGGCUUGCUCUUGGGGGAUUAAUGGCGAACGGGGUGAGUAACACGUGAGUAACCGUGCCCCUGGACUUCUGGGAUAAGCGUUUGGAAAACGACGUCUAAUACCGGAUAGGACCUCGGAUCGCAUGAUCUGGGGUGGAAAGUUUUUUCGGUCUGGGAUGGACUCGCGGCCUAUCAGCUUGUUGGUGAGGUAACGGCUCACCAAGGCGUCGACGGGUAGCCGGCCUGAGAGGGUGACCGGUCCACACUGGGACUGAGACACGGCCCAGACUCCUACGGGAGGCAGCAGUGGGGAAUAUUGCACAAUGGGCGCAAGCCUGAUGCAGCAACGCCGCGUGCGGGAUGACGGCCUUCGGGUUGUAAACCGCUUUUAGUAGGGAAGAAGGGCUUCGGCUUGACGGUACCUGCAGAAAAAGGACCGGCUAACUACGUGCCAGCAGCCGCGGUAAUACGUAGGGUCCGAGCGUUGUCCGGAAUUAUUGGGCGUAAAGAGCUCGUAGGCGGUUUGUCGCGUCUGCUGUGAAAACUAGAGGCUCAACCUCUAGCCUGCAGUGGGUACGGGCAGACUGGAGUGCGGUAGGGGAGAAUGGAAUUCCUGGUGUAGCGGUGGAAUGCGCAGAUAUCAGGAGGAACACCGAUGGCGAAGGCAGUUCUCUGGGCCGUAACUGACGCUGAGGAGCGAAAGCGUGGGGAGCGAACAGGAUUAGAUACCCCUGGUAGUCCACGCCGUAAACGUUGGGCGCUAGAUGUGGGGACCUUUCCACGGUUUCCGUGUCGUAGCUA